rnacentral:rRNA from 1 species
CCUACCGGCUUACCAACGGAAAUCAAACUCCGAAUACCAAAAGUGAGUUCGGGAGAUAGACAGCGGGGGCUAAGCUUCGUUGUCGAGAGGGGAACAGCCCAGACCGCCGAUUAAGGUCCCUAAUUUUAUGCUAAGUGAGUAAGGAAGUGAUGAUUCUAAGACAGUUGGAAUGUUGGCUUAGAGGCAGCAAUCAUUUAAAGAGUGCGUAACAGCUCACCAAUCGRGAAUCAUUGCGCCC